AGCGAACGCUGGCGGCAGGCCUAAAACAUGCGAGUCGAACGCCGUAGCAAUACGGAGUGGCAGACGGGUGAGUAACACGUGGGAACGUGCCUUUUGGUUCGGAACAACCCAGGGAAACUUGGGCUAAUACCGGAUAAGCCCUUCGGGGGAAAGAUUUAUCGCCAGAAGAUCGGCCCGCGUCUGAUUAGCUAGUUGGUGGGGUAAUGGCCCACCAAGGCUACGAUCAGUAGCUGGUCUGAGAGGAUGAUCAGCCACACUGGGACUGAGACACGGCCCAGACUCCUACGGGAGGCAGCAGUUAGGAAUCUUGGACAAUGGGCGCAAGCCUGAUCCAGCCAUGCCGCGUGAGUGAUGAAGGCCUUAGGGUUGUAAAGCUCUUUCAGCGGGGAAGAUAAUGACGGUACCCGCAGAAGAAGCCCCGGCUAACUUCGUGC
rnacentral:rRNA from 1 species